rnacentral:rRNA from 1 species
GACGAACGCUGGCGGCGUGCUUAACACAUGCAAGUCGAACGGAAAGGCCCUGCUUGCAGGGUGCUCGAGUGGCGAACGGGUGAGUAACACGUGGGUGAUCUGCCCCUUACUUUGGGAUAAGCCUGGGCAACUGGGUCUAAUACUGGAUAGGACCAUGCUGUAGGUGGUGUGGUGGAAAGAUUAGUUUCGGUAAGGGAUGAGCUCGCGGCCUAUCAGCUUGUUGGUGGGUUAAUGGCCUACGAAGGCGUCGAAGGGUAGCCGGCCUGAGAGGGUGGACGGCAAGAUUGAGACUGAGAUACGGGCCAGAAUACUACGGGAGGCAGCAGUGGGGAAUAGUGCAAAAUGGGCGCAAGCCGGAAGCAGCGACGCCGCGUGGGGGAUGACGGCCUUCGGGUUGUAAACUCCUUUCAGCCAUGAAGAAGCCCUUGUGGUGACGGUAGUGGUAGAAGAAGCACCGGCUAACUACGUG